GAUGAACGCUGGCGGCGUGCUUAACACAUGCAAGUCGAACGGUAAAGCCCAGCUUUUUUGGUGUGUUAGUGGCGAACGCGGGUGUGACACGCGAGUAAACUGCCCCCAACUCUUGGGUAUGCCUUGAGAAAUCGGGCGAUAACCGCGGAUAGGCGUUCCUGCCGUGUGGUGUGGUGUGGAGAUUUAUCGGUUUUGGAUGGACUCGCGGCUUAUCAGCUUGUUGGGGUGGGAGUGGCUCACCAAGGCGCUGACGGGUAGCCGGCCUGAGAGGGUGACCGGCCACAUUGGGACUGAGACACGGCCCAGACUCCUACGGGAGGCAGCAGUGGGGAAUAUUGCACAAUGGGCGGAAGCCUGAUGCAGCGACGCCGCGUGCGGGAUGACGGCCUUCGGGUUGUAAACCUCUUUCGGCUGGGACGAAGCGAGAGUGACGGUAAUUGGUGAAGAAGCACCGGCUAACUACGUG
rnacentral:rRNA from 1 species